rnacentral:lncRNA from 1 species
AAACUGGACUUGCAAUCUGUACAGUGUUGUUUUAGAGGAGAGUUCACGUGUAAUUACUGCACUUAUGCACGUAGUCCUAAAGGAUAUUUAUGUUUGGCAGGUGUGACAUAUAAGGAAAAGCAGGCCAUCUCAAGUACAUCCAUUCCAGUCAGAAGCAGAACCCUGAAGUCAGGAACCAAGUCCUCCUUGAACCACUCAGAGUUUGUGGACAUAAUUCUGAAUGAAAUAAGCUGUGUUGGGUCAGAGAAGGCUGCUGGGCUUGUCCUUGACUCUGCAUUGCCAUUGCAGACCUGGAAAAAUAAGGUUGUUCAGCCCUGA